UACAGGGGGGUGCAAACGUUGUUCGGAAUCAUUGGGCGUAAAGCGCACGUAGGCGGUUCGUUAUGUCGGAUGUGAAAGCCCUUGGCUUAACCGAGGAAGUGCAUCCGAAACUGGCGAGCUAGAGUACGAAAGAGGAUCGCGGAAUUCCCGGUGUAGAGGUGAAAUUCGUAGAUAUCGGGAGGAACACCGAUGGCGAAGGCGGGUCUCUGGGCCGUAACUGACGCUGAGGAGCGAAAGCGUGGGGAGCGAACAGGAUUAGAUACCCC
rnacentral:rRNA from 1 species